rnacentral:rRNA from 1 species
CCUACGGGCGACAGCAGUGAGGAAUAUUGGUCAAUGGGCGCGAGCCUGAACCAGCCAAGUAGCGUGAAGGAUGACUGCCCUACGGGUUGUAAACUUCUUUUAUAAAGGAAUAAAGUGAGGCACGUGUGCCUUUUUGUAUGUACUUUAUGAAUAAGGAUCGGCUAACUCCGUGCCAGCAGCCGCGGUAAUACGGAGGAUCCGAGCGUUAUCCGGAUUUAUUGGGUUUAAAGGGAGCGUAGAUGGGUUGUUAAGUCAGUUGUGAAAGUUUGCGGCUCAACCGUGAAAUUGCAAUUGAUACUGGCAGGCUUGAGUACAGUUGAGGUAGGCGGAAUUCGUGGUGUAGCGGUGAAAUGCUUAGAUAUCACGAAGAACACCGAUUGCGAAGGCAGCUUACUAAACUGCAACUGACAUUGAGGCUCGAAGGUGUGGGUAUCAAACAGGAUUAGAUACCCUUGUAGUC